rnacentral:misc_RNA from 1 species
AAAAAGAAAAAGAGAAAGAUAAAUUCUCUACUCAAAAUCCCCAUUCUAAACGUAGCCUCAAAGCUUUUCUUCCAGCAUUAUUGAUCUUAGCAUACAAGGUUUCAGAACUCUUCCAGUAGUUGCAUAUAGCCUCAACUUCUUUAACUAGCCCGACCCAGAAUCUAUGCAAAGGACCCAGAUGAACUCUACCAUAAGCUCUAACAUUGAAAUUCACAACUCCAUGAACCCAGUGAUCCAUAGCAAUCUGGUAUGCAACCAAAUUGUCUAUUGAUUUAGACGAUGCCUCCACGAGCACAGAAGCAUGAUGAGUCUUAGUAUCUUGAAAAAAAGGAGGUGUUAGAGCUGAGGCAAUCUUGUAGUUUCCAUAGUUAACAGAAACCUCUAGAGGUUCGUAAGAUAUAUUUGAGAAAAUCGUGUUAGGGUUUAUGAUAUGAAACUUAAUGCACCAUGUGGCAGUGAUGUUA